rnacentral:tRNA from 3 species
GGGCUCGUAGCUCAGUUGGGAGAGCGCGUCGUUCGCAAUGACGAGGUCAGGGGUUCGAUCCCCCUCGGGUCCACCA